rnacentral:rRNA from 1 species
GUCCACGCCCUAACGAUGUCUACUAGUUGUUGGGUCUUAAUUGACUUAGUAACGCAGCUAACGCGUGAAGUAGACCGCCUGGGGAGUACGGUCGCAAGAUUAAACUCAAGGAAUUGACGGGACCCGCACAAGCGGUGGAUGAUGUGGAUUAAUUCGAUGCAACGCGAAACCUUACCUACCCUUGACAUGUACAGGAGCCUGAAGAGAUUUAGGUGUGCUCGCAAGAGAACUGUAACACAGGUGCUGCAUGGCUGUCGU